AUGCUGGCUCCUGUUUCUCUGGCAGUCUAGGAGAACAGGGGUGGCUGGUGUGAGUUCUUGAGCUGAGAGACAGUUAAUGACAGUUGAAGAGAAAGAAAAAGAAAUUUAAGGAGAAGAAGGAAGAAGAAGAUUUAGUGUGUUGAGAUACUUUUGUUGAGAGCUGAGAUAAAUGCUGAGAUACUGAAGAAAGUGAGAUUAAUACAUUUUUUUGAAACGAGUGUCCAAGGACUCCCAGUGAUUCAGAAACUUCAAGAGAACACUGAUGUUAAAAAGACGACUUUCUAUUUUAAGAUUAAAUUGGGGGUUGUGGAGUUUGCGCUGCUCUCUCUAUUGAAUUCAGGCCCAACUCAAGGACUCUUUCCAGGGUCUAGCUAAGGAUCUGAUCGUCCGCUACAAUUCUCUGUAGGUCGGUGGCAUUAAAUAGAUGAUGGCUUCUGGAGGGGAUGUCAUGGUCUGAGAUGCUAAGAAGGGACUCUAGAACUCAAGGACCACAGUACACAGUGUAGCCGCAACCACGUAAGCUUCUGACUCCUCGGCCAAUUCAGUGCGGUGGGCAAGUGUGGCUGGUGAUUCGGACAUUGUUAGGACAGCAGAGCAGGAAGGGUCCAGAGUUCUGGGCGAGUGACAGAGUUGCUCUUCCUUGAGGGACAGUUGAAGCUGGAGCUUGUUGGUCUAAGUUCCUUGGGUGGACCUCGUGAGUCAGACUGUCUCCCUCUCUUGUGACUGUGUCCCUCAUCCAACAGCUGGUUCCUGUGUCCCCGUGUGUGUGUCUAGUGGCUGAUAGACUGAUUUCCAACAGAGCUGCUCAAGACGCCUGAGCCAUCUGUCAGUGAGACGUUUCCUUGGAGCCCUGUUCCUGCUGCCUUCAAUUCCCUACCACCUUUGUAUAUGAACGAUGGGGGCUUAAUUGAGCUCCCUGUAGGAGUUACAUUUGUAGAUAGAAGAGCGUUAAAUAGUGCAGGUGAUCAACUUGAUUUGGGGGAGGUUAUUGAUAGUCUUUAGAGAGAUCAUCCCAAUUCCCUUCCCUUCCUUCCCUUGUCUGAAAUAAAGAAUUAUUUUA
rnacentral:lncRNA from 1 species